UCGAUCGGUGACCGCCAUCGCACAGGAAUUCGUUGUCCACUCGUCAAAAAGGACCAAACGUGACACAAUCUUUCGUUCCGUGCGACCGGGAAUUUCAGUCGAGUUUACGCGUUAACACCUGUUCUUAGUCGAUCUCUUCGGAAACCCCUUGGAACCCCCGACGUUAACGCACUCGUGCCGAAAGCCAGUAGCCAAGUGAUGGAUAUCUAUAACGUGCAGUGUACGUGAACACCGUAUUUGGACUAGCAUGCUUCCUUAUCAGAAAAGAUUCUCGAUACGGAAGAAGGAACGAUGACACAGAGUAAUCUGGAUGCUGCUCCAGAGUUUCAGGGGGAAGCUGUGAUCGCACGUUCCGAUGUUGCAGCUUCGCUAAGAAUUCAAAGACGUAUCAACAAAACGAUGAGGCAUCGAUUGCUUUGGUCGAAUCAAGUAUUUCAGGGCACUGCUUAAACCCGGAUAUUUCAUUUCACGGGCUGUGAAUGCCUCAAGGAUCUCAGAAACUCGUAUCACGAUUACUGAGAAAGCAUAUGUAAUGCGUAUGGGAUUCCAACUUGGAAGUCCCAAGUCUGUGGGCUAUUCUUGUUAGUCACGGAAUCAGGGACCGUUGAUGCAUUCUACUAUCACUGAAUAAUAAUUUAAACAUAAAUUCAAUAUUUUCAAUUUUGAAGCAUACCAAGUUUGAAGGUGGAAACUUGACAUGUCCUUUCUUCGUACUUGAUGCAGUUGACCGUAUUUUAGAACCAUCGACCACGAAACACUAUCUAUAUUUUUAUGCAUAUUUAAAAACUAAAGUCUGAUAAAUGAACAUGAUGUCACACAUGUCCAAGAAACGUGGCUGCCGGUGUAAAUAAAAAUUGACUUGUUUAUUUGUAAACGAGUGACAUUGACGUCUGUUCGUGAACAUUGUUCAAACAAAUGCAACCGAGUCUGCCUUGUAAUCAUCGAAAUUUGAAAUCGAUUCAUUUUCAUUUAAAUUGCAGCUUUUUUUUCAGGAAUACACGGCGAUACUACAUUCCUUUCAGGGAACGCAAGCGGAAGUCAAAUGCGUCACGUCCCAUCGAUUAAAGAUGAAUAUCAGAAGAAGCUCCACAUUGAGAUUUUUAUAAUCUCCAAACAUUCUCGUACCCCGCAGCGU